UGAAACUGGUGCGAAACGCAUAAAUGGAAGAUCUGAACCAGGAACCGGGCUCAUUGGGAUGGAAAUAGUCAGUUUCUAGUUUUUCACACAACCAACAAAGUGGGUAUAUCAGUUUCCUCUUUUGUCCUUUUUGAAUCCAAAUGCCUUGAAGUUUUAUCACAGUCCACGUUAGUUAAAUUAAUUUUGCAAUACACUGGGUAUUACUUGUUUAACCACUUUAUUAAUAUAUGAGUCAGUAAUAAAGGUUGAGAGAUGGGAAUCCCAUAUAUUUUAUCACCAAUAUCUUAUGUUCGGAUAUUAAUACAUCACUUUGGGUUUGAUAUACUGUUGACCUUAGAUCUAUUUUUUCAUGUCAGCGUACUAUUCUAUAGGCAUGAUUCUCUAUGUUUGCCUAGAAUUGUUGAUAACUUAUUUCCCAUUGUUUUUUUUUUUUUUUGUUUAACAGUGCAGAGCACGGUAGAUUUGCAGUGGACAAUAGCCAUAAGUAUAUGAAGUAUAUUGAAAUACGAGUAACCAUAUAAGUUCGAUGAAUCAACUUGUAGUGGUGUGAGAGGAGGGUGCCUUAGUGUUUGUGUGCAAAUGUUAUUGUGUUUAUGUUGCCUGGAGGAGAUAGAUCACGUUUGUUGGUGUUUAGCUAAGUAUUGACAUUGUAUCUCCUAAGAACUAUAGAUUGCUAGACUUGCACUUAUGUAGAUGCCAUGACAUUCUACUUUUCCAUCUUCAGUUCAUGCUCAUUAUAGUCAAAUUUUUUUGCUGAGUUGCAUUUAAAAUUGAAGCAUUUGGUGGUUGGAUCAAAUGCAAUUUUGUAAAUUAACAUUGUCAUCGUGUUUUAGUAUACCUGGGUUUUUGCAACUUAGUUCCCUUUUCUCAUCAAAUUGCAUGCUUUUCUACUUAAUGAUGGUAUCUGCAUUCACUCAGCAGCCCAUAAACCAGAACUUGUUCUAUCUUAUACUAUUGCGGGGGAUUGUGGAAGAGUUGAUCUCAUAUGAAUCUAUCAGGAAAAAAGGUCAUGAUCUGUGGUGGGCCUUUUUCUCAAGAUGUUUUGCUUGAGAAUUGAGAUUACCAAUGGCUUUGUUCUCAUUAAUAUCCAAUGGAAGAUUACAAUUUGACUGGACACAAACACACACACAGGUUGUAGAUUCAGUUACUAUAAUUGGACUGAAGUUGUGAAUUAUGUUCUGUUGUUUAAACCUGUCCAGACUCCGGAUAGUGUUAACGGGGUUGUUGAAUAAACAUGCUUUAUUUUGUGAUUAGUCCUCUAAAAGUCCAACCUAGGUUAGCCUUCGUAUAUUCAAUGACAAAUUGACAAUAUUCAGUUUAAUGAUUUGACAGCCGUUAAACAUCAUGUGAUGUUUAAUUUAACUGAUAGGAAUUAAUCAUGUAACCAAUUAGAUGAAUCUCAUUCACCAUGAACUUGUUUAUUGUAAGGCUGCACGCCCAUAUUUGAAAUCCUGAAUUUGUUCCUCUAUGUAUGCCUUGAUUUGAAGAAAUGAGAGAAAUUUUGUAAUCAUGACUAUGCUUUCUUCUUUUUGUCUGAGGUUUCUUCAUAUCUUAAUUAGGCUUUCUUCGCUACAAUAACUUUUGAGUCUGGCUGUGUACACUUUACACCGGCUUUUGCAUAUGCAUACUAUAGUUGCUAAGGGCAUCUCCAAUCCACCUCUAUUGCUUCAAAACAGAGGAUGGAUGUGACACAUUGAGGGGAUAUUUUGUAAUUUAUUCCCUUUUUUUCUUCACUUUUUGUACUUUUUGAGUGAAUCUUUGAGGGACCCACCGUCCUUUUUAGAGUUUGAUCCUCCAAAAAUAAUUUUGGUCCUCUAUUUUUAUAGGACCAAAAGUAAAUUUGGAGUACAAAAUCCCUCCAAACUCUAAAAAGGACGAUAAGUCCCUUAAAGAUUCUCCCAAAAAGUACAAAAAGUGAAGAAAAAAGAGAAUAAAUUACAAAAUAUUCCCUCAUUGUAUCACAUCCAUCCUCUAUUUCGGAGGAAUAGAGGUGGAUUGGAGAUGCCCUAAGAGAAACAUUUUGAGGGGGUGUUUUCUGUGGGUGCAAAGCGCGCGUAACAUGAGGCUGGCAGGGAUAGAGGAUGCAGGAGAGGUGCUUGAAGAGCAACUUACAUAAAAAAUGUCCAAAAUGACAUUGGAGGAGGCCCUGACGCUUGCUCGAGCAUUCAGUCAUUAUCUCAAUUUGGUGGGUAUUGCUAAGACGCAUCAUAGACUACAUAAGACGCGGAAUGUGGCACAUCUAUCAAAAUCAUGUGAUGACAUUUUCAGCCAGCUGAUCCAAGGUGGAGUUUCUCUGGAGAAGCUCUAUGAUACUGUCUGCAACCAAGAGGUUGAGAUUGUUCUGACUGCACAUUCCACACAAAUCAAUAGACGUACCUUACAGUACAAACACAUUAGAAUUGCACAUCUCUUGGAGUUUAAUGAUCGAACUGAGGCCAUCAAGAUUGAAAUAAGCUGAUAGAAGAUCUGGUCUUAAUAUUUUACUAAUAUUACCUUCUAUUAUUAUGCUUUUGAAUGCUUCAAAAGGCGAAUAAUUUUUCGGGGUAUUGUAACUGAGAGAGAUAACGUCAAUAUGGCAAACAGAUGAAUUAAGACGCCACAAGCCUACACUAGUAGAUGAAGCUAAGGACACAUACUGGGAGGCCACUUCCGUUGACUUGCACGCCUAUUAAAUUUGGAGCUUGGAUGGGAGGUGAUAGAGAUGAAAAUCCAAAUGUCACAGCAAAGUAGAACCAGUGAAAUUGGAGCGCCUUAAGCCUCUCAUCUUACUUAUAUGGAUCUUUAUA